rnacentral:rRNA from 1 species
CCCUUAGAUGUUCUGGGCUGCACGCGCGCUACACUGAAGCUAUCAACACGUUUUCCCUCCCUGAGAAGGGCGGGUAACCUUUUGAAUCAGCUUCGUGGUAGGGAUCGGGGCUUGCAAUUGUUCCCCGUGAACCAGGAAUUCCUAGUAGACGCGAGUCAUAAGCUCGCAUCGAUUAAGUCCCUGCCCUUUGUACACACCGCCCGUCGCUACUACCGAUUGAACGUUUUAGUGAGGCAUUUGGACCGACGCAUCUCAGUUUAACCGCUGGUUUGUGUUGGAAUGACUUCCAAACUUGAGCGUUUAGAGGAAGUAAAAGUCGUAACA